GACGAACCGAGCGAACGUUGUUCGGAAUCACUGGGCUUAAAGGGCGCGUAGGCGGCUUACCAAGUCAGGGGUGAAAUUUUGCGGCUUAACCGUAACAGUGCCUUUGAUACUGGUAGGCUCGAGGGAGGUAGGGGUCCACGGAACUUCUGGUGGAGCGGUGAAAUGCGUUGAUAUCAGAAGGAACGCCGGUGGCGAAAGCGGCGGACUGGAUCUCUUCUGACGCUGAGGCGCGAAAGCUAGGGUAGCAAACGGG
rnacentral:rRNA from 1 species